GUGAACGCUGGCGGUAGGCCUAACACAUGCAAGUCGCACGGCAGCACAGUAAGAGCUUGCUCUUACGGGUGGCGAGUGGCGGACGGGUGAGGAAUACAUCGGAAUCUACUUUUUCGUGGGGGAUAACGUAGGGAAACUUACGCUAAUACCGCAUACGACCUACGGGUGAAAGCAGGGGAUCUUCGGACCUUGCGCGAUUGAAUGAGCCGAUGUCGGAUUAGCUAGUUGGCAGGGUAAAGGCCCACCAAGGCGACGAUCCGUAGCUGGUCUGAGAGGAUGAUCAGCCACACUGGAACUGAGACACGGUCCAGACUCCUACGGGAGGCAGCAGUGGGGAAUAUUGGACAAUGGGCGCAAGCCUGAUCCAGCCAUACCGCGUGGGUGAAGAAGGCCUUCGGGUUGUAAAGCCCUUUUGUUGGGAAAGAAAAGCGGCAGGUUAAUACCCCGCUGUUCUGACGGUACCCAAAGAAUAAGCACCGGCUAACUUCGUG
rnacentral:rRNA from 1 species